GAUUCUGCUAAGUAGCAAUAUUAUGUAUAGGAUCUGACGCCUGCCCAGUGUUGUAAGGUGAACUUGGAUUGUUAUUUUUAGCAUGAAGAUUAAGCCCACAGUAAACGGCAGCCGUAACUAUAACGGUUCAAAGGUAGCGAAAUUCUUUGUCAAUUAAUUGUUGACCUGCAUGAAUGGCGUAACGACUUCCCUACUGUCUCCAGUAUUGACUCAGUGAAAUUGAAUUCUCCGUGCAGAUGCGGAGUACUAAUAGCUAGACGGAAAGACCCUAUAGACCUUUACUGCAUUUAUGUAUUGUCAUAUAAGGUGCAAUGUGUAGGAUAAACAGUAACUUAUGAUACUUCAAUUUUGGUUGAAUGUGGAGGUGUCCUUGAAAUAUUGUUCUUUGUUAUCUUUAUGACUAAUUAGUUUUAACAGUGCAUAAUUGGUAGUUUUGCUGGGGCGGCAGGCUUUUAAAGAGUAACAAAGCUGUACAAAGGUAAGCUCAAAAUAAUUUAUGUUAUUUGUAGCGUUUAAUGGCAUAAGCUUGCUUGACUGUAAAAUUGAUAAAUUCAGCAGGGACGAAAGUCGGUCAUAUAGAUCCGAUGAUACCAGGUGGAUGGGUCAUCGCUUAACGGAUAAAAGGUACCUUAGGGAUAACAGGCUAAUAACUCUUGAGAGACCAUAUCGACGGAGUUGUUUGGCACCUCGAUGUUGACUCAUCACAUCCUGGAGCUGAAGUAGGUUCCAAGGGUUCGGUUGUUCGCCGAUUAAAGUGGUACGUGAGUUGAGUUUAGAACGUCGUGAGACAGUUUGGCCCCUAUCUACUAUUAGUGUUAAAAAAUUGAAAAGUGUUUUUUCUUGUACGAGAGGACCGAAAAGACAGUACCUAUGGUUUUCUGGUUAUUUUGGCUAUAAGUAGGCCAGUCAGCUACGUACAUAAACAUAACCACAGACGGCAUCUACGUGGGA
rnacentral:rRNA from 1 species